rnacentral:lncRNA from 1 species
AGCGCGGGUAUCAAGGUUCCUCCGGCGGCGGCAGCAGCUACAGCAGCUCGAGCUCCGCCGCGCGUCUGCGCCUCCACACUCACUGCCUGCAGCGCGCGCCGCCGCGCCGCCGCCGCCCGCCCCAACGGUCCCUCAACGGCCGCCGCGCGCGCCCCGCCUCGCCCGGCCCCGCCCCGCCCGGCCCGCGCGCCGCCGCACUGCGGCUCCCACGGAUCCCUCCGCGCCUCUCUCCGGACUGUCGGGCCCGCGGCUCUCUCACUCCUCACAGAGUUGGGCUUAUGGUCGGCCGCGCGCGCGCGAGCGCACCCGUCGCGGGACUACUUUCCGUCGCCAUGCGCCCCGCCCCCUGUGCCCACUCUACAUUCCUCCUCGGCGGAGGGGCACUGCUCGGCUGGCGCGUGAUGCGUCCCUGUGUGACACGCGCGGCUAUUGGGUCCGGGCCACGGCGGAAAUAAGAGCGCGGUGCCGAUUGGUCUGGCCUUCCCUGCAAUGCGUCAAACUGGGGCGAGCCACUGUGUGGUGGUGGUGGGCAGGCUGAAAUGUGUGACUGUGUGGAACCGUGAGGCGUAACGAGGAAGGGAAAAUUGUGUGACUGUUAGAGAAGCAAAUACAUCGUCUUCGUGGUCAGGGAAUGGUAAAAAGGAUGGCGGAAGGUGCAGAAGUACUUUCUUGGUUCUCCCCUCCGACAGAUGGAACAUGGUGCAAUCCAAAAUGCUGGUCUGGAAGCCCCGCCCCCAAAUGGGCCCUCGGGGUGGCGGGGUCUUCAAGGUUCAGCUUUUAGCCUGAAAGUUCUGCUCUUCGGCCGUCGGGGCAGGUGUCUUCACCGUGAGACACACUCCACAGUUGUGCGAAGCCCCUGUCCUCGCUUCACUUCGCUUAUAAUCGGUUCAGGGUCUGUGAAACGGGCUGUUCCAGGACAGCCCUGGGAACAAGGGCUAUAUUUGCGUCUGUGCUCUGCCCCCUCUCGGUGAUUGGCUGACGAGUGUCAAGUGAGUCCAGCUGGACCAAUCUUUAUGUUACACCUGGAACAGGAUGUAGGCUGAGCCAAUGAGAGGCCUUCCCUGGGUUUUUGGAUCUAGACUUUUGGGGGCAGGAAGUCUUUUCCUUCUGUGUGGUGAGGCUGUGAAGAAAUAGAUCUGGACCUAUCUAUGCAUAUUCAAAAGCAGAGACAUUACUUUGCCAACAAAGGUUCGUCUAGUCAAGG